rnacentral:rRNA from 1 species
AUUCCAGCUCCAAUAGCGUAUAUUAAAGUUGUUGCGGUUAAAAAGCUCGUAGUUGGAUUUCUGUUGAAGACCGGCGGUCCACCUUUUGGGUGAGUAUCUGCUUGGGCUUCGGCAUCUUCUCGGAAUACGUUGCUGCGCUUGAUUGCGUGGUUCGGAGUCCGGGACUUUUACUUUGAGGAAAUUAGAGUGUUCACGGCAGGCAUACGCCUUGAAUAUAUUAGCAUGGAAUAAUAAUAUAGGAUCUUGGUUCUAUUUUGUUGGUUUCUAGAGCUAAGAUAAUGAUUAAUAGGGACAAUUGGGGGCAUUCGUAUUAACGCGUCAGAGGUGAAAUUCUUGGAUUGCGUUACGACGAACUACUGCGAAAGCAUUUGCCAAGGAUGUUUUCAUCA